UACCUGCAGCUCGAGUGGUAACCGCUAUUAUUGGGCCUAAAGCGUCCGUAGCCGGUUUGGUAAAUAUCUGGGUAAAUCGUGAGGCUUAACUUCACGAAUUUCGGAUAGACUGCCAGACUUGGGAUCGGGGGAGGUCAGAGGUACUCCAGGGGUAGCGGUGAAAUGUUGUAAUCCUUGGAGGACCACCGGUAGCGAAGGCGUCUGACUAGAACGAGUCCGACGGUGAGGGACGAAGCCCUGGGCGCAAACCGGAUUAGAUACCCGGGUAGUCCAGGGUGUAAACGAUGUGGGCUUUGUAUUGGAGGUCCCACGUGGGCGUCCAGUGCAGAAGAGAAGUUGUUAAGCCCACCGCCUGGGAAGUACGGUCGCAAGGCUGAAACUUAAAGGAAUUGGCGGGGGAGCACAGCAACGGGAGGAGCGUGCGGUUU
rnacentral:rRNA from 1 species